GGGCGGUUAGCUCAGUCGGUUAGAGCGCCUGCUUCACACGCAGGAGGUCAGAAGUUCGAGUCUUCUAUCGCCCA
rnacentral:tRNA from 1 species